UCGGUAUAAUGUUUUUAUCAAUUAAUUUAGUAAAACUUCAUAAUAUUGCCUCAAUCGGUGGAAUAACCACUACAAAAUUGUUAUUUUCUUGAAAAAAGGAAACAACAAUGUCUCCAAACCUCUUUGAAGAUCAUCAUAUGUUAUUGCAGGAUACAACUAUGCAUUAAAACAAUAUUUUCAUAUUUUUUGAAAUUUUCUUAAAAUCUAUGUGUUAAAUGAUUGAGUUUUCGGUAAAUGAUUUAUAUACUGACGCAUAUAAUCAUUAGUGUUGUUUAAGAAACUUUAACCACAUUCUACAUUUGUAUUAACGUAUGCUAAACUCUCUUUAAUGGUACA
rnacentral:lncRNA from 1 species